rnacentral:RNase_P_RNA from 1 species
UGGGGCAGGCGAUGGGAGCGCUGGUUCUGAUGAAGAACCAGAGGAAAGUCCGAACUCCACAGGGCAGGAUGCUGGAUAACAUCCAGGCGCUUGAGGCGAAAGCUUCAAGCGACGGAAAGUGCCACAGAAAACAUACCGCCCCGCACUUGAAUUACAAGUGCGAGGUAAGGGUGAAAAGGCGAGGUAAGAGCUCACCGCUCCACCAGCGAUGGUGGAGGCAUGGCAAACCCCAUCCGGAGCAAGACCAAAUAGGCUUUGCCCUUUGAAGGGUUGCCCGCCCGAUACUCCUUAAAUGGAGGGGCAAAGCGGGUAGGUCGCUGGAGUUCUGCAGUAAUGCAGAACCAAGAUUAAUGCUCCCCAUGAACAGAAUUCGGCUUAUGUCCUGCCCCACUUU